rnacentral:tRNA from 1 species
GUAGAACAAUGGAUAGCGCGUUGGACUUCUAAUCCAAAGUUCGUGGGUUCGAAUUUCACCUCA